rnacentral:rRNA from 1 species
AUUGAACGCUGGCGGCAUGCCUUACACAUGCAAGUCGAACGGUAACAGGUCUUCGGAUGCUGACGAGUGGCGAACGGGUGAGUAAUACAUCGGAACGUGCCUAGUAGUGGGGGAUAACUACUCGAAAGAGUGGCUAAUACCGCAUGAGAUCUACGGAUGAAAGCAGGGGAUCGCAAGACCUUGUGCUACUAGAGCGGCCGAUGGCAGAUUAGGUAGUUGGUGGGAUAAAAGCUUACCAAGCCGACGAUCUGUAGCUGGUCUGAGAGGACGAUCAGCCAAACUUGGACUGAGACACGGCCCAGACUCCUACGGGAGGCAGCAGUGGGGAAUUUUGGACAAUGGGCGAAAGCCUGGUCCAGCAAUGCCGCGUGCAGGAUGAAGGCCUUCGGGUUGUAAACUGCUUUUGUACGGAACGAAAAGCCCCGGGUUAAUACCCUGGGGUCAUGACGGUACCGUAAGAAUAAGCACCGGCUAACUACGUGCCAGCCGCCGCGGUAA